rnacentral:piRNA from 1 species
UGCUCCAGGUGUGAAAUGACUGGCCUCCUUU